rnacentral:rRNA from 1 species
UACAGAGGGUGCGAGCGUUGUCCGGAAUCACUGGGCGUAAAGGGCGCGUAGGUGGCGGCCCAAGUCUGUGGUGAAAGCUCGAUGCUUAACAUCGAGUCGGCCACGGAGACUGGGUGGCUCGAGCACUGUAGGGGCAGAUGGAAUUCCGGGUGUAGCGGUGGAAUGCGUAGAGAUCCGGAAGAACACCGGUGGCGAAGGCGGUCUGCUGGGCAGUUGCUGACACUGAUGCGCGACAGCGUGGGGAGCAAACAGG